UGGGGAAUAUUGGACAAUGGACGAAAGUCUGAUCCAGCAAUACCGCGUGAAUGAUGAAGGCCUUAGGGUUGUAAAGUUCUUUUAGUAGGGAAGAUAAUGACGGUACCUACAGAAAAAGCCCCGGCUAACUCCGUGCCAGCAGCCGCGGUAAGACGGAGGGGGCUAGCGUUGUUCGGAAUUACUGGGCGUAAAGAGCGCGUAGGCGGCUUUGCAAGUUGGAAGUGAAAGCCCGGGGCUUAACCUCGGAAUUGCUUUCAAAACUGUGGAGCUAGAGUGUAGUAGGGGAUGAUGGAAUUCCUAGUGUAGAGGUGAAAUUCUUAGAUAUUAGGAGGAACACCGGUGGCGAAGGCGGUCAUCUGGGCUACAACUGACGCUGAGGUGCGAAAGCGUGGGGAGCAAACAGG
rnacentral:rRNA from 1 species